rnacentral:lncRNA from 1 species
UUAUUCUAAUAAUAUUUGUUUCCUCUUGGUUUGACAAGUCAUUAUAUGUUAUACUCUAUUCACGUUGCCUGGUUGUUUCAUGUCACCCGGCUUCUUCUAAAAUCCAUUCUCUCCAGCUGUCCCUGUUCGUCUCUCAGUCUCAUUUGCUUUGCCAUCUCUUCUGAAAUCUUGGGCGGUAGUUGCAAAGUUCUUAUUCGAUUACCUAUUUCAUAUCUGUUCGCUGUGUGCUGUGGCC